CACAGAGAAGGGGAACACAGUUAGAAGACAGAGGAGGUAGAGAUUUGAUUUAUGCAACAGCAAGCCAAAAAAUGCCAAGGGCUGAUGAUGCUAUGGUGUGAAGACUUGUCCCCUCCAAAAUUCAUGUUUAAAUUUUAUCCCCAAGGUAGCAGUAUGAAGAGGUAGAGCUGGCCUUGAAGAGGUGAUUGGUGUGCCCUCAUGAAUGGAUUAAUCCAUUGAUGGAUUAACAGGUUAAUGGAUUAUUCUGGGAGGGGACAUGGUGGCUUCAUAUUAGGAGGAAAAGAUACCUGGGCUAGCAUGCUCCACGUCCUCAUCAUGUGAUGUCCUGUGCUACCAUGAGACUCCACAGUGCUCCCAGCAGCAAGAAGGCCCUCAGCAGAUAUGGUCCUCUGACCUUGGACCUCUCAGCUUCCAUUACUCAUGAAGAAGAAGUCAACAUUUUGAAGUGUUUACCAUGGACCAGGAGUCUCAGGAAACUGGAAGAUUGCAAGCAGAAAACUAGCCUGAUACAUAUAGCAUAUGCAAAUGCUCUGCCAGAGAGACCACCAAAGCUUGAAUUCCUCCUUCUGACUCUCCAGAGAGAUUUAGAGCCAAGACUUUCAGCCAGGGCAGAAGGAUUCUAGGUGUGCAAGCAUCUUGAGUACAUAAAACUUAACUAGCAUUCUGCUCCAGAUCCUGCUCCAAGCAAGUUCACCUCAUCAAAACACCGCUAGGGUGAGCUGUGAUUCCUGGGAGCUCUUCCUCCCUCAAGACAACAGAAAGUACUUCCUCACUACCUCUCUGGAGUGCCAUGACCAUUGCUCCUUCUUACCAAGAGCCAGCAAAGCCUGGGAACAGGAUUUGCAAAUAAAGGAGGGAGAAAGGAGGCCUAGGGAUAGUGGAAAGAGAGCUAAGAAAUAAAGAUGGAAGAUGCAGGAGGAGUGGUACCUAGGACCCAGGAGCAAGAAGGAAGAGAAAGAAGGGAGGUGGGGAACCCAGCAGAGAGACAGGCAGAGAAGGCUGAGGCAGGAGCACAAGGGAAAAGCCCAUGGUGCUACAGUUUGAGGCACUACACCUUGUUGUUUGAAUUCCAAAAUUUUCCAUUUCUACUAAAUGUAACUGGAACUUACUGUACAUUUACCAGACAAGCCACUACCCUUUGCAGUACCCUUGAGAGAAGGAGGUGGACAGAGACUGCUACAUUUUGCCAUCAUGAGAACAUGGACAGGAUAAUCCUCCUGAAGCUACUUGAGAGUGAAGUCCAGCCCUUGGCGCCUGGAUUCUACUGUCAAGAACCACCAGCUGGCCUGACUGCCAGCUUCCAAAUUCAGCCGUGUUCUCACCCAGCUCCAGCACGUAGCCAAACUCAAAGGCAUGAAAAUCAGUUAGAACACGUGAGAGAAGAUGGUUCUCAGUCUGAACCAGACAUAUCAAUAACUUGGUGUCCCAAAUGCAACCCCAAUAUUUCUUUUGUCUAUUACAGGCCAGAAAAAUUAACGUCUGCUUGAAAGUCACACGUUAGAGGCUGAUGUGACUGCAACUGUAGCAAUGAAUGCACUUAGCCAUUCUGUUAUUCAUCAUUUGACCACAAAUAUAUGGCUAGCAGGAGGGGACGAGUGCUGGGGACUAGACACAGUUAAAUCAGAACAUGUCCACCCUUCAGAAGCUUACCACGUGGUGAAAGCCUUCAUGUACGUGUUCAAAUAUCUUUUUUUUUUUUUUUCUGAGGCAGGGUCUCACUCACUCUCUCAUCCACAGACUGGACUGCAGUGGCACAAUCUCAGCUUGCCACAACCUCUGCCUCCCAGGCUCAAGAGAAUCUCUUACCUCAGCCUCCUGAGUAGCUGGGAUUACAGGAAUGCACCACCAUGCCUGGCUAAUGUUUAUAAAAUUUUUAGUAAAGAUGGGGUUUCACCAUGUUGGCCAGGUUGGUCUCGAACUCCUGACCUUAAAUGACCCACCCGUCUCUGCCUUCCAAAGUGCUGGAAUUAGGGCAUGAGCCAUAGCCACUGCUCCCAGCAGGUUCAAAUAUCUCUUUAAAAAGAUAUUUUAAAAGGAAUGAGAAAGGAGAGUCUGCACGGUCUGGCUAAUGAAGCAUAAGCUUCAGUGCUAGCCAGCCAUCUUCAUUAGCUUUGAGGUCAACCCAACCUUUUGGAUCCUCAGUUUUCUCAUCUAUAAAAUGGAACAAGCAAGAGUGGUGACACCCAGAGGCUGUGCAGAGUCCAGGUGACCCUACAGUAUACUUGAUAUGCCUGGCAUAGCAUCAGGGGCCCCACACAUGCACGUGCUCCCUUUGCAGUCCAAACAGGGAAUAUUUAUUUUCCAGUUUUAAGUUGAUCCUAUUCCCUCAUCUGCAUUUCUUUAACCUUCCAUUCUCAAUAAGUUGAGUAAGAGGGACAGUGAACUGGAAAGGGAAAACAUGUGAAAAUGCGGAGAAUUCUGAAAAUACAUCUUUCCAAAUUGUGCAGCUUGGUGUUGGCAAGAUGACAAGGGCCCCGGAAACCGGGUGCAAACACAGCGCAGCAAAAUCACGCAGCUUGCGUGUGCAGUAUAUGUAUGUUACAUGCCAAGUGCUGAACAAGUGCUUUUAAACAAAUGACAAAUAUGAUAGGAGGCUGUGAAGAUCAGGCCAAGUGAAUGCAAGGGUUUUCAAGAUUCAGAUGUGGACACGAAGUUCAUCUCAUUCCCACCCGCCAGCUCUUGCCGCCCUGCAGACCCCAACCCAACACUCCUUCUGCCUCAACUUCUCUAUCGGCGGCACCAGGCACAUGCACACACCGUCAAGAAAUCACAACUCCGUCCCCCGUGUUAAGCCCGUGGGCUGUAGAAUAUCGGACAGCACAUUAUUUUCCCAAUCAAUUUACAAACUUAACUAAUAAUUUAAUUCGCCGCAUGACAAAUCCACUAGCUCAUGCCGAAAGCAACUUAAAUAGAGCGGUCAUAAAAUUCCCUUCUCCGCCUUUGCUUGAUACCAUCGUUAAAAAAGAGAAGGGAUGAGAAAGUGAAAGGGAAAGUGCAGGGAUUCUUUUAUGUGAAGAUUACAUUUAAAAAUAACCGACUAACCGUCUGCACUUUUCGGGGGCCUGACGUCUCGAAACGCAUUUAGAUUGAUGCAGGCUGGGGCUGAAGUUCUCGUGCUGAGUAAACAGUCAAGUGUUCUUAAUAGGAAUUGUAGUUUCUCGACAUCUGUUAGGGAAAAGGGAAUGGCGAAACAACAAUUUAGAGUGAGAUUGGUUUUGUUAAAUGCAUUUAAAUUCCAAGAUUAGUGGUGUUCUUUCUUUUUCAAUUAGCAUUUACUUGUAGAAAGGUUACAGAUGAAAGGGCUGGGGAAGAGAGCGGGUGGAUUUUUUUCCUUACUGAGAGGACACUCCAAAGCAUAGUAAAGCUAAAAUAGAAAGAGAACAUAAGACGUAAAGGAACUUAAAACGGAUGCCAAAUUGAGACUGCAAAUCUUGAAGGGAAAGCAUUUGAAAUAAAAUAAAAAUAAAGUGAAGUUGAGUCUGGAUUUGAUGAUCCUGUCCUCUGGGCAGAAAAAUCAUAAAUUGCUUUGAGAAAAUACAGGGAUUUCUAUUUUCCAAGCCAGUUACUAAGCAGAAUUUGUGUUAUUUCUCAAAUAUAUGCCAUGCUUCUGUUUGAGUGUGUAAAGAGCUGUAACUAGCUCACUUUUUUUUUUUUUUUUUUUUUUGAUAGAAACAUAAACAGAGACGAAAAAUGUAGGGAAUGUUUCACCUGUUUUACUGCCAUUAAAUAAACCUCAUCUGCUACCAAGCUGUUUUGGGUGACAUUUGCUAAAUAAAUACAUUUUGUGGGAGACUGCAACACUGAAGUACAGAGAACAUGCAACCAAUGUUCUCAGAUGAAUCCUGUAUGCUUCUCAGAGCCUCUACCCCUACCCCAGGGGAGAGUCAAGUGGUAAAUUCAGGUUUCUAUUUUCACAUUGAUAUUUUAUUUUCAAACUUACACAGCUACAAGAAAAAGUACAGGCUUUUGUUACUAGCAUUUCUUGUAAUUCUCUCUCACUUGCUGCUCCCUUACUCAGUUUUCCUAUCUCCCUCCACCUUCCUACCUCCCUACACAAAUACCUUUAUUGCAUUUUUUUAAAUUAGGAAGUAUUCACUAUUUCUUUACGUUUCUACAUGGAUUUCAUCUUUUUAAAAUCUACCAGCAUGUAUAUUUUGCGCAAGUCUGAAUCCUUUGAAAUAUUGUUUGAUCUUCAUGAUUAUUUAAAAGUAUGUAUAUUGAGUAUUUGCUUAAGGUUAAAGCCAUUACUGCCGUUUCCAAUUAAAAAACUAAUAAAUACAUUUUGAAAGAAUGUCUGCCAAGACUGUUCUCUGACAAAGUAUCUCUGUGGAUAUUCAAAUGGCACCAAGAUGGAUUACUGUUUCUGAUUAUUUCUUGUGUAGGGUCUGAGAGAUUUUGCAGAAAUCGUAAUUGAAGAAAAUGAUGGAAAGGAAGCUUUGAAUAUGGGGAGCUGUUAUGGCACUGGCUGGACAACCAGAUGGAGCUAUUCCCAGUCCCCUGCAUACAGACAGAGAAUCCAUUUGAUUUAACUAAAGAAGUAUACAGUUCUAGAACAUUCUGCAACCAGACUUCAGGCACCAGGAGGCCUCUGUAGGCAGGGUUCCUCGGGUUUCUCAGCUGGCUUCCUUGGAGAAAUUUCAUAUGCUGAUUCCUUUCAAUUAUCUGUCAAUUUUCAAAAUGCAAAUAGAAACAUGCAGUCAUCACUUUGGUACUCACCAACUGAUUUCUUCCAAGCACCCAGACCAUAAGUGAAUGCAGUUCAAUAUGUUCUCUUCCUUUUUUUAAGUGGAGUUAAUAUUACUGAGCAGAUUUUGGUCAGCUUCCAGGAACCCAGUGUGUGGAGAGGCAGAAUUUUAUUUUAGAAGCACAAGUUGGUUUGAAAAAUGUGAACUUACCCCAACUCUUUCUUUGUUUCAUCUCUCUUACUAGACAUAUUUUAUUUUCCUAAAUAAAACAUAAAUAAAAACAAAAAAAUUUCUCCAUUGAUACACACACACACACACACACACAGAAAUUAGGUCAAAUUAUUAUUACUACUUAGGUGUCUUUAAUUAUUUUACAUGUUUAUAACACAAAAAAAAGUAAAAAGAAAAGAAAAAAUGGUGUAUAACUUCAAGACCAGGAGAUAAUGAAUAAUAAAUAUUUUGCUAUGAUUUCUUUUCACAUUCUAUUCAUAUACAUUUUGUAGAGUUGAGUUCACACAGUUCACACAAUUUUGUUUUCUUCCUUUUUCCUUGACCUUUAUCAGUAAGGAUUUUCUUUAUAUCACUAAAAUUUCUUCAUUAACAUAACCUAAUAUGCACUUACAAAAUGUUACCUAAUCAUUCACCUAUUUAAGGGCAUUUUGUAGUUUGCAAUAUUGUUUCUUUAUAAUUUCAGGUAAUGUUUAAAUAAACCAAUUUAUGGAAAA